rnacentral:rRNA from 1 species
CCUACGGGGGGCAGCAGUGGGGAAUAUUGCGCAAUGGGGGAAACCCUGACGCAGCAACGCCGCGUGCAGGAAGAAGGUCUUCGGAUUGUAAACUGUUGUCGCAGGGGAAGAAGACAGUGACGGUACCCUGUGAGAAAGUCACGGCUAACUACGUGCCAGCAGCCGCGGUAAUACGUAGGUGACAAGCGUUGUCCGGAUUUACUGGGUGUAAAGGGCGCGUAGGCGGGAUAGCAAGUCAGUCGUGAAAUGCCGAGGCUUAACCUCGGAGCUGCGAUUGAAACUGUUAUUCUUGAGUAUCGGAGAGG